rnacentral:rRNA from 1 species
GACGAACGCUGGCGGCGUGCCUAAUACAUGCAAGUUGAGCGCUGAAGGUUGGUACUUGUACCGACUGGAUGAGCAGCGAACGGGUGAGUAACGCGUGGGGAAUCUGCCUUUGAGCGGGGGACAACAUUUGGAAACGAAUGCUAAUACCGCAUAAAAACUUUAAACACAAGUUUUAAGUUUGAAAGAUGCAAUUGCAUCACUCAAAGAUGAUCCCGCGUUGUAUUAGCUAGUUGGUGAGGUAAAGGCUCACCAAGGCGAUGAUACAUAGCCGACCUGAGAGGGUGAUCGGCCACAGUGGGACUGAGAAACGGCCCAAACUCCUACGGGAGGCAGCAGUAGGGAAUCUUCGGCAAUGGACGAAAGUCUGACCGAGCAACGCCGCGUGAGUGAAGAAGGUUUUCGGAUCGUAAAACUCUGUUGGUAGAGAAGAACGUUGGUGAGAGUGGAAAGCUCAUCAAGUGGCGGUAACUACCCAGAAAGGGACGGCUAACUACGUG